rnacentral:rRNA from 1 species
UACGUAGGGUGCGAGCGUUAAUCGGAAUUACUGGGCGUAAAGCGUGCGCAGGCGGUUCGUUGUGUCGGUGGUGAAAGCCCCGGGCUCAACCUGGGAAUGGCCAUGGAAACUGGCGAACUGGAGUGUGGCAGAGGGGGGUGGAAUUCCGCGUGUAGCAGUGAAACGCGUAGAGAUGCGGAGGAACACCGAUGGCGAAGGCAGCCCCCUGGGCUAGCACUGACGCUCAGGCACGAAAGCGUGGGGAGCAAACAGG